UUCCGGUUGAUCCCGCCGGACCCCACUGCUAUCGGGAUAGGACUAAGACAUGCUAGUCGUGUGCCUCAGCCAAAACGAGGCACGGCGCACAGCUCAGUAACACGUGGCUAACCUGCCCUUAGGACGAGAAUAACCCCGGGAAACUGGGGCUAAUGCUCGAUAGGUGAAGAACUCUGGAAUGAGUCUUCACUUAAAAGAGUCUGCGUUAUGCUCGUAGAUUUCGCUUAAGGAUGGGGCCGCGACCGAUCAGGUUGUUGGUGAGGUAAUGGCUCACCAAGCCUUUUACCGGUGCGGGCCGUGAGAGCGGGAGCCCGGAGAUGGGCACUGAGACAAGGGCCCAGGCCCUACGGGGCGCAGCAGUCGCGAAAACUUUGCAAUACACGAAAGUGUGACAGGGCUAUCCCGAGUGCCAUCCGCUGAGGAAGGCUUUUACCCAGUCUAGAACGCUGGGGGAAUAAGGAGAGGGCAAGUCUGGUGUCAGCCGCCGCGGUAAUACCAGCUCUCCGAGUGGUGUGGAUGUUUAUUGGGCCUAAAGCAUCCGUAGCUGGCUAAGUUAGUCCCCUGUUAAAUCCAACGAAUUAAUCGUUGGAUCGCGGGGGAUACUGCUUGGCUAGGGGACGAGAGAUGCAGACGGUAUUUCCGGGGUAGGGGUGAAAUCCUAUAAUCCCGGGAAGACCACCAGUGGCGAAGGCUGUCUGCU
rnacentral:rRNA from 1 species